AGCGAACGCUGGCGGCAGGCCUAACACAUGCAAGUCGAACGAACUCUUCGGAGUUAGUGGCGGACGGGUGAGUAACACGUGGGAACGUGCCUUUAGGUUCGGAAUAACUCAGGGAAACUUGUGCUAAUACCGAAUGUGCCCUUCGGGGGAAAGAUUUAUCGCCUUUAGAGCGGCCCGCGUCUGAUUAGCUAGUUGGUGAGGUAACGGCUCACCAAGGCGACGAUCAGUAGCUGGUCUGAGAGGAUGACCAGCCACACUGGGACUGAGACACGGCCCAGACUCCUACGGGAGGCAGCGGUGGGGAAUCUUGCGCAAUGGGCGAAAGCCUGACGCAGCCAUGCCGCGUGAAUGAUGAAGGUCUUAGGAUUGUAAAAUUCUUUCACCGGGGACGAUAAUGACGGUACCCGGAGAAGAAGCCCCGGCUAACUUCGUGCCAGCCGCCGCCGUAAAAC
rnacentral:rRNA from 1 species